rnacentral:rRNA from 1 species
AGGACGAACGCUGGCGGCGUGCUUAACACAUGCAAGUCGAGCGAGGCCCCUUCCUUCGGGAGGGGAGCCCUAGCGGCGAACGGGUGAGUAACACGUGGGCAACCUGCCCCUAGCUCUGGGAUAACUCCGGGAAACCGGUGCUAAUACCGGAUAUGACCUCAUUUGGCAUCCUCUGAGGUGGAAAGAUUUAUUGGCUAGGGAUGGGCCCGCGGCCUAUCAGCUUGUUGGUGGGGUAAUGGCCUACCAAGGCGACGACGGGUA